GAUGGACGCUAGCGGCAGGCUUAAUACAUGCAAGUCGUGGGGCAGCAGGAAUAGCAAUAUUUGCUGGCGACCGGCAAACGGGUGCGUAACACGUACACAACUUUCCGUUAAGCGGGGCAUAGCCCGGGGAAACCCGGAUUAAUACCCCGUAACAUAUAGAUAUGGCAUCAUAUUUAUAUUAAAGCCUUUCGCAAGAGGGCGCUUGAUGAUGGGUGUGGCGGCUGAUUUAGGUAGUUGGCGGGGUAAAGGCCCACCAAGCCUUCGAUCAGUAGCUGAUGUGAGAGCAUGAUCAGCCACACGGGCACUGAGACACGGGCCCGACUCCUUACGGGAGGCAGCAGUAAGGAAUAUUGGUCAAUGGGCGAAAGCCUGAACCCAGCCAUGCCGCGUGGAGGAUGAAGGUCCUCUGGAUUGUAAACUUCUUUUAUUUGGGACGAAAAAAGGGGAUUCUUCCUCACUUGACGGUACCAGAUGAAUAAGCACCGGCUAACUCCGUGCCAGCAGCCGCGGUAAUACGGAGGGUGCAAGCGUUAUCCGGAUUCACUGGGUUUAAAGGGUGCGUAGGCGGGCAGUUAAGUCAGUGGUGAAAUCUUUGGGCUUAACCCGAAAACUGCCAUUGAUACUAUCUGUCUUGAAUAUUGUGGAGGUCUGCGGAAUAUGUCAUGUAGCGGUGAAAUGCUUAGAGAUGACAUAGAACACCAAUUGCGAAGGCAGCAGGCUACGCAUAUAUUGACGCUGAGGCACGAAAGCGUGGGGAUCAAACAGGAUUAGAUACCCUGGUAGUCCACGCCCUAAACGAUGGAUACUCGACAUACGCGAUACACUGUGUGUGUCUGAGCGAAAGCAUUAAGUAUCCCACCUGGGAAGUACGACCGCAAGGUUUG
rnacentral:rRNA from 1 species